CAGAGAGAGAGAGAGAUAAAGAGGGAAGGAGUUGGAAAGAAAAGAGGCAGAACCUGAAAGUAACUUUCGAUGAACGAAUGUACAUUCCAGGCUCUGCUUCUGUUGAGAGAGAAAUAAAAGGGGUCAGUGCUCUAAAAUGAGUCUCUCUGGGGAGAGAGAGGAGGGGGGCCCUGCCUCUGAAAUGGAUCUCUCUGGGGAACAUGACACCAAAGCUAAGAGAAACCAACAGGAGAGAUCAGAGUCAGACAUUCUCAGUGGUCAGUCUUCCCAGAGUCAUCAAACAGACCUGGCCUCCAUGUUCAGU